rnacentral:rRNA from 1 species
GACGAAGGGGGCUAGCGUUGUUCGGAAUUACUGGGCGUAAAGCGUGCGCAGGCGGUUGUGCAAGACCGAUGUGAAAUCCCCGGGCUUAACCUGGGAAUGGCAUUGGUGACUGCACGGCUAGAGUGUGUCAGAGGGGGGUAGAAUUCCACGUGUAGCAGUGAAAUGCGUAGAGAUGUGGAGGAAUACCGAUGGCGAAGGCAAUCCCCUGGGCCUGCACUGACGCUCAUGCACGAAAGCGUGGGGAGCAAACAGG